rnacentral:rRNA from 1 species
GAUGAACGCUGGCGGCGUGCCUAAUACAUGCAAGUCGAGCGAACAGAUGAGGAGCUUGCUCCUCUGACGUUAGCGGCGGACGGGUGAGUAACACGUGGAUAACCUACCUAUAAGACUGGGAUAACUUCGGGAAACCGGAGCUAAUACCGGAUAAUAUAUUGAACCGCAUGGUUCAAUAGUGAAAGACGGUUUUGCUGUCACUUAUAGAUGGAUCCGCGCCGCAUUAGCUAGUUGGUAAGGUAACGGCUUACCAAGGCAACGAUGCGUAGCCGACCUGAGAGGGUGAUCGGCCACCCUGGAACUGAGACACGGUCCAGACUCCUACGGGAGGCAGCAGUAGGGAAUCUUCCGCAAUGGGCGAAAGCCUGACGGAGCAACGCCGCGUGAGUGAUGAAGGUCUUCGGAUCGUAAAACUCUGUUAUUAGGGAAGAACAAAUGCGUAAGUAACUAUGCACGUCUUGACGGUACCUAAUCAGAAAGCCACGGCUAACUACGUG